CUUCAGUCAUGUCGGCCAGGUGCUCCCCAGGCUAGCACUGCCCCGCCCCUGCGUGAUCCGGGAUGGGAGUUUGGAAACUGCUCCCCAUAGGCGGCCGGAGAGGAACGUGAAUCUUUGUCUGUUUCACUCCUCAGCAGCUCACUCUUGGCCCCAGGAGGAAAACGAGAAGGUUAACCAGGCAUAACCCGGAGGUGAGACAGGGUCUCACUGCAUGCCUGUAGUGCCAGCUACUCAGGAGACUGAGGUGGGAGGAUCUCUUGAGCCCAGGAGGUCGAGGUGGCAGUGGCCCAUGAUUGCAUCACUGUACUCAGUCUGUCUGCACUACCAUUGUGAGCUGUUAACACUCACUGUGAAGGUCUGCAAAGGUCUGCGGCUUCACUCCUGAAGUCAGCAAGACCACAAACCCACCAGAAAGAAGAAAUUCCAGACACAUCUGAACAUCUGAAGGAACAAACUCCGGACACACCAUCUUUAAGAACUGUAACACUCACCACGAGGGUCUGUGGCUUCAUUCUUGAAGUCAGCGAGACCGAGAACCCAUGGGAAGGAACCAAUUCUGGACGCACUGGGUUCACGCCAUUCUCCUGCCUCAGCCUCCAAAGUAGCUGGGACUACAGGUGCCCGCCCACCAUGCCCGGGUAAUUUUUUGUAUUUUUAGUACAGACGGGGUUUCACCGUGUUAGCCAGGAUGGUCUCGAUCUCCUGACCUCGUGAUCCACCCGCCUUGGCUUCCCAAAGUGCUGGGAUUACAGGUGUGAGCCACCGCGCCUGGCCUUUUUUUAAGUCUUAAUAUGGGAUUUCCAUAAAACUUAAUCCGUACUCCACAAUGCAACUUUUUAUAAUCAAUAAAAUUGGCAGGUUUGUUUGCUUCCUAACAAUUUAGAAGGACUUUCAGAAAAUUUGGCUGGUCAAAACCUAUUUUUACAUCUAGCCAAAUGGUUAUCUCUAGAUGAAGGGAUUUGGGUUCAUUUAUAUUUUCUUUUUCUUUUUCUUUUUUUUUUUUGAGAUGGAGUCUUGCUCUGUCACCCAGUCUGGAGUGCAGUGGCGCGAUCUCGGCUCACUGCAGGCUCUGCCUCCUGGGUUCACGCCAUUCUCCUGUCUCAGCCUCCCCAGCAGCUGGGACAACAGGCGCACGCCGCCACGCCCGGCUAAUUUUGUUGUUGUUGUUGUUGUUGUAUUUUUAGUAGAGACGGGGUUUCACCGUGUUAGCCAGGAUGGUCUCAACCUCCUGACCUCGUGAUCUGCCCGCCUCCACCUCCCAAAGUGCUGGGAUUACAGGCGUGAGCCACCAUGCCUGGCCAUUUAUAUUUUCUUUUUUCUUUGCGUUUAAUUCAGCAAUGCACCAGAAGGACUGACGAGACUCACUGGUUGGCCAGGCGUGGUGACUCAUAUCUGAAAUCCCAGUACUUCAGGAAGCCAAGGAGGGUGGAUUCUUUGAGCCCAGAAAUUCGAGACCAGGCUGGGCAACAUGGCAAAACCCUGUCUCUACAAAAAAUUAGGUGUGGUGCCACACACCUGUGGUCCCAGCUACUCGGGAGGCUGAGGUAAUAGGCUCACUAGAACCUGGGAGGUUAAGGCUGCAGUGAGCCAAGAUCCUGCCACUGUACUCCAGCCUGAGUGGCAGAGCAAGACCCUAUCUCAAAAAUAAAUUUUAAAAAAGAACCAAUGGCAGGUUAUAUACUUACUACUAAGAUUUAUUAUAGCAAAGUAUACAUAGCAAAAGCAGCAGGAAAAAGACAUGCAUCAGCAGGGUCCAGAGAGGUUCAACACAGGUUUCCAAUGUCUUUCGUUGUCUGAGGCCACACAGGAGUACUCGCUGUCUCGAGCAGUUAACUACAGGGACAUGUGUGGAAUGUCUUUGCCCAUGAAAGCCUGUCUGAAUCUCAGAGUCCAAGGCUUUUAUGAGGAGCUGGUAAUGUAAGUAUAUCCUGCUAUGCAAUUAGCCAUGGCAAGCAAAACUCAGGACCCUAACAAUGAAACCUCAAUCUUGGUGUUUAUGGAAAGCAACCUGACAAACCAGUAUGGCAUGGUUCGUUGCUCCAGUUGUAUAUAACAAAAUCACCAAUCAAUAACACAAAGAACUCUCUAAGGACUAUAUUCCCAGUGAUUGGCCAAGGGCUAAUCAUGGUUCCCUUGGAGACCUGCAAGGUUAUGCAACCUGACCUACUGUGUUAACUCUUUCCUCAGUCUGUAUUUUCUAAAAUGUCUAUAAUUAACAUAUAUUACUUUUAUAAUCAGAAAAGUAACUAUUAACAUAAAGGCAUCCAAACAUAAUGAUUUUCUUUUUAGUUAUUUAAUGAUGCUGCUUUGUAAGCUCAGUACAUUUUCUUGUAGUCAGCAGAGCUGCUAAGAGUAUAGUCACCCUACUAGACAUUUCAUAGAUGCCCAUCAGAGCCUUUAUAUGCUUUGGGAAAAACCAUAAAAACAGGCAUGAAAGAGCAUAUGAAACCUAGGAGGAACCACAGCAACAUCUAGUUCCACUUCCCCAUCUUAGAGAUGAGGAAAUGGGAAUUCUGAACAGUGAAAGGACUCUCCCCAGGUUCUAAACCUUAGGGUUUUCAAUUAAAAACCUGUCUUGGAAUUGCUGAAAUGUUUGCUCAGUUGCUUCUGAAUGUCUUUACCAUGGAAAAAGCUGGAGCCCUGAAUGAUGAGCUCACCUGGACCAAGCACACAUAGUUUGUCCUCCUUCAGUCUGGAUAGUGACUUCCCUUCCUCCCACUGCCCCAGUGGCCUGACAGGAUCCCAUGUCAAGAGCAUUGCCAAUGCUAUUGGGUCAAUGUUCCAGCUUGGAACCUAACAAGAGGAUAGGUUCAUCUUCACUAAAUUUUCCUUUUCUUUCACCUUCAUUUACUCUCUUGUAAGUUGCAGGGAGGUGCAAAUUCCUUUUAGGUCUCCCAGAACCAGGUCUUAACAGUGGUUAUGACUUCAGGUAGUAAAGUCAAAUGGUCCAGGAUUUGAAUUCUGUUUUUGCAUCUACUUGUAUGAUUUGGCUUAUGUGAUUUGAGUGAGUUACUUGGGGAAGUUAAUAAAAAUAGUAGUACCUUCCUCCUAAGGUUACUGGGAAGAGAAAAGGAAUGUCUUUCAUGUAAUAACUCUCAACUAGCAUAGGGCUUGGCAUAUAGUAAAUGUUCAAAAAUAUUAGCUGUUAUUUUUUAAAUAGAUGCUCCGUUUAUUUUGGAAAAUUCUAUUCUCUGAUUUUUAAGACCAUUUUAUUGAAGUAAUUGACAUGCAGUAUAAACUGAACACGUUUAAAGUAUAGAAUAUCAUGUUUUGACAUGUAUACACCCAUGAAACUAUCACCAUAAUCAAGUUAAUGAACAUAUCCAUAACCCCUAAAAGCUUUCUUUUUUUUUUGAGAUGGGGUCUCGCUCUGUCACCCAGGUUGGAGUGCAGUGGUACGAUCUUGAUGCACUGCAACCUCCACCUGCUGGAUUCAAGUGAUUCUCCUGCCUCAGCCUCCCA
rnacentral:lncRNA from 10 species